UUCAUUCCCAACACUUCUUCUCCCAAAAAAAGUCAGAUUUCAUUCCCCCAAAACACACGCUGCUCCCAAAAUCAAAUUCCGCCACCAAACUUGAAUAUUCACAACAGCUCUCCGGCGACAGCACCACCGUCUUCCUGCCACCGAACUCAAACGCCACCAUGGGGAUACUCGCCUCCGACAGCGAGGACAAGUCGUUGCACUCCCCACGCCAGUUCCUGAAUGCGUCCCGCACCGCCACUCCCAUCGGUGGUCGUCGAUUCGAAGAUACAACAACAAUCGCCAACCUCCACCUGAAAUCCGACGCACACGUCCCGCCAUCCCUGUCCCCGGCCUCUGAAAUUAAUCCGAUUCAGCCUCCAGGGUUCAAAGUACUUGCUUACAGGAGGGAGGGAAGCCGGAAAGGAUCAUUCAUCUUGCCAUGCUAUUAUGUGUGCGUUGAUGGAACAAGUUAUAAUAUCUGAAAUUCUGAAAUUUCCCCCUCAUUUGAUUUGCUUGAAGUUGUGUGUAGGUUUAGAUUGUUGAAGUUGUGCUGUUUACGAAUGUGUUUAAAUGGAGAUUUUGUUAUGAUGUCAUUGAUCAUGCUAUUUCAUGUUAACAAUUACUGGAUCCGCGACUAGUCUGACUAUCCCUAUUUGUUGUUUCACUCGGUUUUUUACUUCUGAUAUUGAUGAAAACAAGAAAAAAUGGAUAUCUUUGAAUUGAGUGAAGGUUAGUGAUGGCACAUUGUUUCCUUUGGUGAGAAAGUAGUUCUAGAGAAAAUUCUUGUUCAGGGAAAUAGAACAUUAUGAUUAGGCAUCCAAGAAAAAAGAUUAUUUGGAGUAUUCCUAGCAACCAGAUCAAUACCCUCUGAACCUUGCAUCUUCCUCAUAGUUUUUUCAAGACAAUUAGGAAACAAGUGCACUUCCUCAAUUUUACAACACAAUGCUUUCAGUAGCAGAGCAUGCUACUUUCUACAAUAUAUUUGUAACAAAUCAAAUCUCACUUUGCAUGACAAGACUUAACUAUGAUGGAUAUGCUCAUAUGCAGAUUCAUUUCAGGGAUGUAGAGAUAUCUGCCCAUGUUUGUUUCUGUUUGGUCUUAUGAAAGGAAAAUCCCGAUCUGUGGAAAUGGCUGACCAGCCAAGAGGAACCCCCUGAGGCAGUGAAAGUAAAUCCAGUAUUCGUGGCUGUGUGGCAAAAGGAACUUGAAGAACAAUCAGCUUACUGGUCCAAUUCCUUCGACAUUAACGCAAAUUCCUAAUCUAAAAACUCUGGAUUAAGCGUUUCGCUAGCUAGCCCUGAUGGUCGCGUAAUAGGUGGUGGCGUUGCAGGUUUGCUCAUGGCAGCUAGUCCGAUCCAGAUUGUAGUCGGAAGCUUCGUGCCAAACGGUUUCAAGAUGCAGAAGCGAAAGCAGCAGAGCAAGCCAAGAAUGGCCCCUGCAGCCCACUGCCCUCCGGCCACUGUGACUGCCCUCCAGCCACUGCGACUGCCCUCCAGCCACUGCCCUUCAUCAUCAAGAAUGAGCUCCUCCUUGUUUGAUAACUUUGAUCACAUCUUGGGUUUGAUGUAGAAUGUUUGUAUGAUGGAUAUUUUUUCAAUGUAGAAUGAUAAAGAAUAUUUGAAAUUAAUGAAUGACAUUUUUAUUA